AUUGAACGCUGGCGGCAUGCUUUACACAUGCAAGUCGAACGGCAGCGCGGGCUUCGGCCUGGCGGCGAGUGGCGAACGGGUGAGUAAUGCAUCGGAACGUGCCCAGUAGUGGGGGAUAGCCCGGCGAAAGCCGGAUUAAUACCGCAUACGACCUGAGGGUGAAAGCGGGGGACCGAAAGGCCUCGCGCUAUUGGAGCGGCCGAUGUCGGAUUAGCUAGUUGGUGGGGUAAAGGCUUACCAAGGCGACGAUCCGUAGCUGGUCUGAGAGGACGACCAGCCACACUGGGACUGAGGCCCGGCCCAGACUCCUACGGGAGGCCGCCGUGGGGAAUUUUGGACCAUGGGGGCAACCCUGAUCCAGCCCUGCCGCCUGCGGGAAGAAGGCCUUCGGGUUGGAAACCGGUUUUGGUCGGGAAGAAAUCCUUUGGGCUAAUACCCCGGGGGGAUGACGGUACCGGAAGAAUAAGCACCGGCUAACUACGUG
rnacentral:rRNA from 1 species